CAAGGAGAACAGAAGGAAAUGCAAGAAAUUCAUGCCUCGAUGAUGAAUAUCUGUGAGAAUACAACUACACAACAGUAGCUAUGUCGCCAUUAGCAAGUGAUUUGGAUCAAGAGGAUUGGUUUACUAUAAAUAAACAGGGCUUGGAGCACAUGGAAGGGCAUGAAUUUCACCUUCCCCGGGAAGACUAUGGACAAGGUACACCAAAACCACUCUGGAUCCAAACCACUGUGUGAUAAAGAGGAGAGAGAUCCCUGCACACCUUCGAGGGUUUCAUGGCCAUCUCUUGGCUUCGUGUGUCGCCACCACUUCUGCACUGACUUGGCAACAAGGCGAGUUUGCAGGAAGGCAGAAUG